AUGGCAUCGGAGGACGUGGUGGGGAAGAGCAGGGCGACACGGCCGUCAACACCAUCGUUAACCUGGCCGAGGAGGCCAAGCUCGCGCGCGAGGGCGUCAAGCGCCCCGCCCAUGGGUGUCGAUGAAGACACCAAGGUGGAGAAGGCAAAGUUCUUCUACGAGCGUGGCAAUUUCCUCGCAAACUUCUUGUCUGCACCUGCUACUUCUGCUUCUGCUGCGUCAGCUUCAUGUUGCCCUGUGAUGAGAGGAGACUGA
rnacentral:rRNA from 1 species